GAACAAAUGUGGGAUGGUACAUAUAAGUCAAUGAGAAUGUCUCAGCAUUAGGUGUUUGUUCAGUCAACCAAUGAAGUUGAGGGCUGAUUCUUCCAAAAGGGUCCAGUCUCAAAGGCCUACUCUAGGAUUCUGCUUUACCUGAGCAGAAGAGCCCAGAAGAACUCUGCCAGCAACUCACAUCAGCACAGACAGAGCUCAUCUCCCCCUGCCACUGAUGACAGAAGCAAAAAUACGGAUGAAUCUUCACCUUCUGGCAUUAAAGGUACACGAAAACCAUAAAGAUGAUACAAACGCAAAAGUAACUGGCUUAUCACACAGCUCGAUGUCCAUGCUUCCUGGACCGUUCAUCACCUCACAAGCACAUGACUCCGGACUGGCUCCCGUGCUGGCACAUCCCAACUCUAAUUCUUCCAAGAAGCCAGCUCAGCUGGCCAAGCCUGGUCAAAAUGGUCCUCAUUCACACACACAUCCGCCUCAAGAUUGAGGUCUCCCUUUACAGUGAACUCUGUGCGGAAGGUUCCGAGACACAGGAUAGAUAACUAGCUGACAAGGACAUAGUGCCUGUGAGAGCUGAAGGAGCCUGGGUUGAGGCAGCCCUGGGAAAGGUGACUGCAGAGAAAUCCCUAAUUUCUCAAGAGGGCCUGACAAACGAUGACUCCCGGAGGAAGUGGCAGAGAACAAGCAUGGUUAAGGUGCGUGACCCUGGAAGUCGGGAGUUGGCCCCCGGGGUACAAAUAUUCUGAUCCAGAAAGACAAAGAGGCUGAAGGGGCAAGGCGAUCCAUUUGGAACUGAGGAAAUUUGAAGUCUUAACACAUCGUUUAUUUGAAGAAAACAAGAGAGCUAGCCACACACAUCCAAAACUUAGAAAGAGGGUCAUCAAAGUAAUCAGCUACAGGUACUGGCUCGGGAAACAUCAGCCUAGAAGUGGCGAUCACAGUUGCUGCUGGAGGGCUGGCACAGUUGAGACUUAAACUACAGUUGCCACGUCUCAAAGCCUGUGCGCACUGCCUAAGCUUGCUUUCUUACCCGCUUCGACCAAACGCUUAUCCAUCCCUUGAAGACUCUCACUACAGUAGCAACUCUGACAAACAUGAAAAGCACAUCUCAAAAACAUCACUGAGUGAGUGGUCCCUGGCUGUCGCCUCCUACUCAAAGGCAAGGCCACCGUCCCAGCUAAACCAUACAUUUGAACAACUUAAUCACACAUCUAUGUUUAAAAGCAAGCAAUAACCACCAACUAGAAAAUACAAAAGGACCAGCAAGAACACUCAGUAGUAAAAGAGCUUGCUACACAAGCCUGACCUUAGGAGUUCAAUCCCCCAGAUCCCAAGAUGGAGGGAACUGACUCCCACACACUGUCCUCUGAGCUCCACACAUCUGCCGUGGUCUGUGCUCGGCUGUAUGCAUGCAUGAGCACAAGCACACUGACACAUUGUAGACAGACACACACACAGACACACACACACACACAGACACACACACACACUAAAUAAAACAAAAAUUUUAAGAAAGAAAACUAUAGAAGAACAAUCAGAAGUAUAUUUAUGCUAGAAAGAGUGUGUACUUCAUGGCCCCUGAAUUCUCUACCCACAGUACUCACGUUACUCUCCCCUCCAGAUCUUCAUCUAAUCUUCUCUCUCAGCACUCAUCAAGACGUAAAGGUAGCAUAAGAAAGAUGUCAUGCAAAUAUACUUAUCUCUCACUGUGAGAGAAACCCUGGACCUCUAGACAAAUUCUCCUCUUUCUGGCUUCUCAUAAAGCAAUCCCAGUGACCAGCAAGGAACUUUUAAUCUCCCUGUUCUCCACUAAAUGCAGAAAAAUGGGAACUUCUGAAGGUUCCUGCCAGCACAGGAAUAAGCAUCCCUCACAAGUGUGAUCAGUGCAAGGGAAAAGUACAGUUCAGAGGGCACUUCAGCUGGGUGUGGUAGUGCAUGCCUGUCCUCCCAGGACCAGGAAGGAGGCCAGCUUGAGGUGAAGAGCAAGACCUGUCUUGAAAGGCAAAGGGCUGAGGAUGGAGCUCUUGUCUAGCAAGGAGAGUAGUAGUUCAACCACCGGCCUUGCGGCUUUUUUUUUUUUUUUGGGGGGGGGGGGAGCCCCCGCCGGUCUCUCCAGCAAGACAGCAAAGUGUCCCAGGCUCUUCUGAUUACCUACACUAAAAACCCAGAUAAAUGCACCAGGCAUUUUGGAGAUAAAGAAAGAUCCCCAGGAUAUAACUCAGGGGUAGCACAUGCUAACUUAUUUGCCAUUUACAAACUAGGCACAGGAGGAGGCCCCAAGGGAACUCAAAGCCCCCUGCACUUCACUCCCAGUUUGCAGCUGAGCCCGGAAAGCCACCCCCUCAUUCAGCUGAGUCAUGUCACACUGUUACACCCAUGAGAGGCACAAUUCAGGGGCCCAACCCACAUGUCCAACCACAUAUUAAUCCAGUGACUUUUAGAAGGCAUGUGAAUCUUACAAAAUUAAGGUGCUGUACUUGCUCAGAGGAAAUCCUACCCACUAUGUCUAGACUCGUGGAGACUGACAGCAACCCACAGCAAAAUGGAAGAGGAAAAAGCGAGCUCAGAAGUAUUUUCCCUCCCAGUGUCCCAGGCUAAAAAAAAAAAAAAAGCGGGGGUUUCUGGGGACUUUGAACUAGAAGAGGUUUUAUUUAAGGUUUCGUGUUUUCUGAGACAGUCUCCUGUAGUACAGGCUAGCCUUAAACUUCUGAUCUCCUGCCUCCGUCUCCCAAGUGAUGCGAUUAUGAGGAAGCAUCAGCAGAGCCAGGUUUGGGCAAGUUAUAAUGAAGCGAACUCUUUAUUAUCCCAACUCCCCACAAAGAAAUACCUUCUGGUUCAGACACGGAACACACCGAUGGAGUGUUUACACAAUCAAGUAGCAACCAAAACACAAAGACUGGUUGGAAAAUGGAUGCAAGAGUUCUUCCUACGACAUGACUCUAACAGGAAACAAAGUGCAUCAAGUUCUGAAAAAACAGUAUGUGCCUAUCCUUGUGUGUGUGUGUGUGUGUGUGUGUGUGUGUGUGUGUGUGUGUGUAACAAUGAAAAGCUGCAAUUGUAAAGAACACACACACACACUGAG